GAUUAUGGCUCAGGAUGAACGCUGGCGGCGUGCCUAAUACAUGCAAGUCGUACGAGGGAAGUCCAGCUGCUGGACGGAACGAGUGGCGAACGGGUGAGUAAUACGUAAGCAACCUGCCUGCAAGGACUGGGAUAACACCUGGAAACGGGCGCUAAUACCGGAUAGGUAACAAAGGGGCAUCCCUAUGUUAUUAAAGGUUAGAAACACAAGCAGAUGGGCUUACGGUGCAUUAGCUAGUUGGUGAGGUAACGGCCCACCAAGGCGAUGAUGCAUAGCCGGCCUGAGAGGGUGAACGGCCACAUUGGGACUGAGACACGGCCCAGACUCCUACGGGAGGCAGCAGUAGGGAAUUUUCGGCAAUGGGCGGAAGCCUGAACCCGAGCAACGCCGCGUGAACGAAGAAGUAUUUCGGUAUGUAAAGUUCUUUUAUUAGGGACGAAAAGACAGAUUGACGGUACCUAAUGAAUAAGCUCCGGCUAACUACGUGCCAGCAGCCGC
rnacentral:rRNA from 1 species